GCACUAUUAAUUUAUGAUCAGGAUUUUUUAAUUAUCAAAAAAAUUUACUGCACCUUUAAUGGAACAUUGAAAUACUGUUUGCAACACACCUCUGAGGAACUGGCAUGAAAAGUCCCUAGGACCGUGUACAGUGCUCUCUGACCCUGUGUGGUGGUCUUGGAGACAGAGGGAGUCAAAAGAAAAGUCUAGAUGUGGCUCUGAAGUUGAAAGUCUAUGGGGUGCCUGACCAGCCCUGUUUGAUGUAGCUCACUGCUGCUGCACGCAUGUGAAGAUGUUUUUGUGUGAUGGCAGCUGGAGACUCUCUCUCCAAGAGAAAUCUGCACGACCCAGCCUGGCUGAGGAAACAGCGUUAUGAGGGUCUUGACCCAGAGCUGGAGAACUCUGUGGGAUUGAGAUGGUGACAGAUAAUAAGUACAGAUCUUCUAAGGUCAAUCUUCACUAAACAGCUUUUUUCCCUUAUACAGCCUAUACAGAUACUUUUUUUUUUUUUUUUUUUUUGCAUCAGUCACUUUCAUCCAAAAUAACUUAAACUUACUUGUUUUAAUCAAUAUGCUUUAUAUACAUUUUCAGUUCAUGCAUUUAUAUUUAUAAUAUAUUAAUAAUUUUAUAACAGUAAUUCUGCUAAAGUAAUUUCUGUAUAAAGAAACUACGCUGCAGUUUUACAAGUUUGAAAGCAGUGUGCAAGCUUCUGUGAAACAAUGUAAAUACGGUUCUUUUGUAACUAUGGAAACCAGGACACGCUCGGACUCGGAGAGGACUGAAAGACCGCGGACUGUUGCUGCUGCGGUCGGUGGUGGCGUUGGAGCCGGUGAAGGGAGUGAGGCAAAGGGGGUUUAUCGGCGCUCUGUUGGGAAAAUAACAGCCCCAGGGUAGACCGCGGCAAACAGGAAGGGUGUGGACAGGAUCCGAGCGCAGCUGCUGCCGCUGAGCAGCGUCUGUUCCCUCAGACUUUGAUGUGUGGGCACACCGCGCUCUGUGCCACGAGAUAAACACUCUGGGAGCGAGGAAUUGUUUGUGUUAUGCAUAGCUCCGUAAUGACAUGAAGCCUGUGAGAAAGUCAGCUGCCGCCGACUGCCCCGCGGGAAGCACGUGUGUAGACCGUCGACCCUGAGCUAAUUGAUGAGUGAUGUCACUGAUGAGACAUCGGUGGCUCCUUUAUAACCUAAAUAAUGUUAACGUAUUAUAUUGAACCUUGUUUCUUGCAUUGAUUUUUACAGAGAUCGGAAAAAUAUCUAAUCAAAAUAUAAUUAUAAUGAUGACCUAUUUUACUUGCUCUUUUGCAAUGUUGCUGUUUUUUUUUCCCUAGCUAAUAUCAGUUUGGAACGGAAGCUUUGAUUAAAAAAUGUAAAAAGGUAAUUGCAACUUUUUAUCUUACAAAUUAGAUCUUUUUCUCGCAAGUCUAAGAAAAUUUGAAAAUGCGACAGUCUCAGAAUUUUGAGAAAUAAACAGAAUUGCUACUGUAGAUAUGAACUGGCA
ensembl:lncRNA